CGGACGGGUGAGUAACGCGUGAGAAUCUACCUUCAGGACGGGGACAACAGCUGGAAACGGCUGCUAAUACCCGAUAUGCCGCAAGGUGAAAAGUUAUUUCGCCUGGAGAGGAGCUCGCGUCCGAUUAGCUAGUUGGUGAGGUAAAAGCUUACCAAGGCGACGAUCGGUAGCUGGUCUGAGAGGAUGAGCAGCCACACUGGAACUGAGACACGGUCCAGACUCCUACGGGAGGCAGCAGUGGGGAAUUUUCCGCAAUGGGCGAAAGCCUGACGGAGCAACGCCGCGUGGGGGAAGAAGGUUUUUGGAUUGUAAACCCCUUUUCUCAAGGAAGAACAAAAUGACGGUACUUGAGGAAUCAGCCUCGGCUAACUCCGUGCCAGCAGCCGCGGUAAUACGGAGGAGGCAAGCGUUAUCCGGAAUUAUUGGGCGUAAAGCGUUCGUAGGCGGCUGUUCUAGUCUGCUGUCAAAGACCGAGGCCCAACCUCGGGUAGGCAGUGGAAACUGGAUAGCUAGAGGUCGGUAGGGGCAGAGGGAAUUCCCAGUGUAGCGGUGAAAUGCGUAGAUAUUGGGAAGAACACCGGUGGCGAAAGCGCUCUGCUGGGCCGAACCUGACGCUGAGGGACGAAAGCUAGGGGAGCGAAUGGGAUUAGAUACCCCAGUAGUC
rnacentral:rRNA from 1 species